GCCUUCAUGGUGUAGCGGUCAGCACGCUCGGGGCGAAUUCAAGAGGUCCCGGGUUCGAGUCCCUGCGAGGGCA
rnacentral:tRNA from 1 species